GGGUUGUGAGGUUAAGCGACUAAGCGUACACGGUGGAUGCCCUGGCAGUCAGAGGCGAUGAAGGGCGUGCUAAUCUGCGAUAAGCGCCGGUAAGGUGAUAUGAACCGUUAUAACCGGCGAUACCCGAAUGGGGAAACCCAGUGUGACUCGUCACACUAUCAUUAACUGAAUCCAUAGGUUAAUGAGGCGAACCGGGGGAACUGAAACAUCUAAGUACCCCGAGGAAAAGAAAUCAACCGAGAUUCCCCCAGUAGCGGCGAGCGAACGGGGAGGAGCCCAGAGCCUGAAUCAGCAUGUGUGUUAGUGGAAGCGUCUGGAAAGGCGCGCGAUACAGGGUGACAGCCCCGUACACAAAAGCGCAUGUGCUGUGAGCUCGAUGAGUAGGGCGGGACACGUGGUAUCCUGUCUGAAUAUGGGGGGACCAUCCUCCAAGGCUAAAUACUCCUGACUGACCGAUAGUGAACCAGUACCGUGAGGGAAAGGCGAAAAGAACCCCGGCGAGGGGAGUGAAAAAGAACCUGAAACCGUGUACGUACAAGCAGUGGGAGCACCCUUUGGGUGUGACUGCGUACCUUUUGUAUAAUGGGUCAGCGACUUAUAUUCUGUAGCAAGGUUAACCGAAUAGGGGAGCCGGAGGGAAACCGAGUCUUAAUUGGGCGUUAAGUUGCAGGGUAUAGACCCGAAACCCGGUGAUCUAGCCAUGGGCAGGUUGAAGGUUGGGUAACACUAACUGGAGGACCGAACCGACUAAUGUUGAAAAAUUAGCGGAUGACCUGUGGCUGGGGGUGAAAGGCCAAUCAAACCGGGAGAUAGCUGGUUCUCCCCGAAAGCUAUUUAGGUAGCGCCUCGUGAAUUCAUCUCCGGGGGUAGAGCACUGUUUCGGCUAGGGGGCCAUCCCGGCUUACCAACCCGAUGCAAACUGCGAAUACCGGAGAAUGUUAUCACGGGAGACACACGGCGGGUGCUAACGUCCGUCGUGAAGAGGGAAACAACCCAGACCGCCAGCUAAGGUCCCAAAGUCAUGGUUAAGUGGGAAACGAUGUGGGAAGGCCCAGACAGCCAGGAUGUUGGCUUAGAAGCAGCCAUCAUUUAAAGAAAGCGUAAUAGCUCACUGGUCGAGUCGGCCUGCGCGGAAGAUGUAACGGGGCUAAACCAUGCACCGAAGCUGCGGCAGCGACACUGUGUGUUGUUGGGUAGGGGAGCGUUCUGUAAGCCUGCGAAGGUGGCCUGUGAGGGUUGCUGGAGGUAUCAGAAGUGCGAAUGCUGACAUAAGUAACGAUAAAGCGGGUGAAAAGCCCGCUCGCCGGAAGACCAAGGGUUCCUGUCCAACGUUAAUCGGGGCAGGGUGAGUCGACCCCUAAGGCGAGGCCGAAAGGCGUAGUCGAUGGGAAACGGGUUAAUAUUCCCGUACUUGGUGUUACUGCGAAGGGGGGACGGAGAAGGCUAUGUUGGCCGGGCGACGGUUGUCCCGGUUUAAGCGUGUAGGUGUGUGUUCCAGGUAAAUCCGGUUCACUUUAACACUGAGGCGUGACGACGAGGCACUACGGUGCUGAAGCAACAAAUGCCCUGCUUCCAGGAAAAGCCUCUAAGCAUCAGGUAACAUCAAAUCGUACCCCAAACCGACACAGGUGGUCAGGUAGAGAAUACCAAGGCGCUUGAGAGAACUCGGGUGAAGGAACUAGGCAAAAUGGUGCCGUAACUUCGGGAGAAGGCACGCUGACACGUAGGUGAAGUGAUUUACUCAUGGAGCUGAAGUCAGUCGAAGAUACCAGCUGGCUGCAACUGUUUAUUAAAAACACAGCACUGUGCAAACACGAAAGUGGACGUAUACGGUGUGACGCCUGCCCGGUGCCGGAAGGUUAAUUGAUGGGGUCAGCGCAAGCGAAGCUCCUGAUCGAAGCCCCGGUAAACGGCGGCCGUAACUAUAACGGUCCUAAGGUAGCGAAAUUCCUUGUCGGGUAAGUUCCGACCUGCACGAAUGGCGUAAUGAUGGCCAGGCUGUCUCCACCCGAGACUCAGUGAAAUUGAACUCGCUGUGAAGAUGCAGUGUACCCGCGGCAAGACGGAAAGACCCCGUGAACCUUUACUAUAGCUUGACACUGAACAUUGAGCCUUGAUGUGUAGGAUAGGUGGGAGGCUUUGAAGUGUGGACGCCAGUCUGCAUGGAGCCGACCUUGAAAUACCACCCUUUAAUGUUUGAUGUUCUAACGUGGACCCGUUACCCGGGUUGCGGACAGUGUCUGGUGGGUAGUUUGACUGGGGCGGUCUCCUCCUAAAGAGUAACGGAGGAGCACGAAGGUUGGCUAAUCCUGGUCGGACAUCAGGAGGUUAGUGCAAUGGCAUAAGCCAGCUUGACUGCGAGCGUGACGGCGCGAGCAGGUGCGAAAGCAGGUCAUAGUGAUCCGGUGGUUCUGAAUGGAAGGGCCAUCGCUCAACGGAUAAAAGGUACUCCGGGGAUAACAGGCUGAUACCGCCCAAGAGUUCAUAUCGACGGCGGUGUUUGGCACCUCGAUGUCGGCUCAUCACAUCCUGGGGCUGAAGUAGGUCCCAAGGGUAUGGCUGUUCGCCAUUUAAAGUGGUACGCGAGCUGGGUUUAGAACGUCGUGAGACAGUUCGGUCCCUAUCUGCCGUGGGCGCUGGAGAACUGAGGGGGGCUGCUCCUAGUACGAGAGGACCGGAGUGGACGCAUCACUGGUGUUCGGGUUGUCAUGCCAAUGGCACUGCCCGGUAGCUAAAUGCGGAAGAGAUAAGUGCUGAAAGCAUCUAAGCACGAAACUUGCCCCGA
rnacentral:rRNA from 2 species